rnacentral:tRNA from 1 species
UUCCUGUGGUUAAAAUAUAUUUUAACGGUGGCUUUUCGAGCCACAGAUCUUGGAGAAAAGCCAAGCGGGAAU